CAGUAGCCACGGGAAUACGGAGGGUGCAAGCGUUAAUCGGAAUUACUGGGCGUAAAGCGCACGCAGGCGGUCUGUCAAGUCAGAUGUGAAAUCCCCGGGCUUAACCUGGGAACUGCAUUUGAAACUGGCAGGCUAGAGUCUUGUAGAGGGGGGUAGAAUUCCAGGUGUAGCGGUGAAAUGCGUAGAGAUCUGGAGGAAUACCGGUGGCGAAGGCGGCCCCCUGGACAAAGACUGACGCUCAGGUGCGAAAGCGUGGGGAGCAAACAGGAUUAGAUACCCGAGUAGUCCCUGUCUCUUAUAA
rnacentral:rRNA from 1 species